rnacentral:rRNA from 1 species
GUGCACCAGUCGCGAAACCUCCGCAAUACACGAAAGUGUGACGGGGCCAUCCCGAGUGCCGUCCGCCGAGGACGGCUUUUCCCCAGUGUACACAGCUGGGGGAAUAAGGAGAGGGCAAGCCUGGUGUCAGCCGCCGCGGUAAUACCAGCUCUCCGAGUGGUGGGGACGCUUAUUGGGCCUAAAGCAUCCGUAGCCGGCUGGGCAAGUCCUCCGUUAAAUCCAACGAUUCAAUCGUUGGGCUGCGGGGGAUACUGUCCAGCUUGGGGGCGGGAGAGGCCGACGGUAUUCCCGGGGUAGGGGUGAAAUCCUAUAAUCCCGGGAGGACCACCAGUGGCGAAGGCUGUCGGCUAGAACGCGCCCGACGGUGAGGGAUGAAAGCUGGGGGAGCGAACCGGAUUAGGAUACCCCCGUA